UGCCCCAGUAACGGCGAGUGAAGCGGCAAAAGCUCAAAUUUGAAAUCCUGCGGGAAUUGUAAUUUGAAGGUUUCGUGGUCUGAGUCGGCCGCGCCCAAGUCCAUUGGAACAUGGCGCCUGGGAGGGUGAGAGCCCCGUAUGGCGCACGCCGACUCUUUGCACCGCGGCUCCGACGAGUCGAGUUGUUUGGGAAUGCAGCUCUAAGUGGGUGGUAAAUUCCAUCUAAAGCUAAAUAUUGGCGAGAGACCGAUAGCGAACAAGUACAGUGAUGGAAAGAUGAAAAGCACUUUGAAAAGAGAGUGAAACAGCACGUGAAAUUGUUGAAAGGGAAGGGCUUGCAAGCAGACACGGUUUUACCGGGCCAGCGUCAAAUAAACGGGGGGGAAAAGGGGGAAAGAAUGUGGCGCGUGCCUUCGGGUUCGCGUGUUAUAGCUUUCUCUAAUACCCCCAUGUUUGUUUGAGGCCUGCGAUUCUAGGACGCUGGCGUAAUGGUUGCAAGCCGCCCGUCUUGAAACACGGACCAAGGAGUCUAACGUCUAUGCGAGUGUUUGGGUGCAAAACCCCAGCGCGGAAUGAAAGUAAGAGGUUGGAGCCGCAAGGCGCACAAUCGAC
rnacentral:rRNA from 1 species